rnacentral:snRNA from 1 species
AAUCUAUUGAUCAUAUUACUA